CACAUACUCCCUCCGUCCCAAAAUGCUUGUCUUAGAUUUAUUUAGAUAUGAAUGUAUCUAGUCAAGUUUUAGUAUUUAGAUACAUCCAUUUGUAGACAAGUUAAGACAAGAAUUUUGGAACGGAGGGAGUAUAUC
rnacentral:pre_miRNA from 1 species